rnacentral:rRNA from 1 species
CAGGGUUUGACAUCCUGCGACCGCUCCCUAACAGGAGUUUUCCCGCAAGGGACGCAGAGACAGGUGCUGCAUGGCUGUCGUCAGCUCGUGUCGUGAGAUGUUGGGUUAAGUCCCGCAACGAGCGCAACCCUCGCCUUUAGUUGCCAUCAUUCAGUUGGGCACUCUAGAGGGACCGCCGGCGACAAGCCGGAGGAAGGUGGGGAUGACGUCAAGUCCUCAUGGCCCUUACACCCUGGGCUACACACGUGCUACAAUGGCGGUGACAGUGGGCAGCUACUUCGCGAGAAGCGGCUAAUCCCAAAAAACCGCCCCAGUUCAGAUUGUACUCUGCAACUCGAGUACAUGAAGGUGGAAUCGCUAGUAAUCGCAGAACAGCAGGCUGCGGUGAAUACGUUCCC